GACGAACGCUGGCGGCGUGCCUAAUACAUGCAAGUCGAACGCAGUUGCGAACGGGUGAGUAACGCGUAGGUAACUGCCUCAUAGCGGGGGAUAACUCUUGGAAACGAUAGCUAAUACCGCAUACUGUGCGAUGGACCUGCGUUGGAUUAGCUAGUUGGUGAGGUAAAGGCUCACCAAGGCGACGAUACAUAGCCGGUCUGAGAGGGUGAUCGGCCACACUGGGACUGAGACACGGCCCAGACUCCUACGGGAGGCAGCAGUAGGGAAUAUUGGGCAAUGGGCGGAAGUCUGACGCAGCCAUGCCGCGUGUGUGAAGAAGGCCUUAGGAUCGUAAAGCACUGUCGGUCGAGAGGCGGUACCGACAGAGAAAGCAACGGCUAACUCCGUGCCAGCAGCCGCGGUAAUUC
rnacentral:rRNA from 1 species